rnacentral:rRNA from 1 species
AAUAGAUCCCUGGUAGUCCACGCCGUAAACGAUGAGUGCUAAGUGUUAGAGGGUUUCCGCCCCUUUAGUGCUGCAGCUAACGCAUUAAGCACUCCGCCUGGGGAGUACGGUCGCAAGACUGAAACUCAAAGGAAUUGACGGGGGCCCGCACAAGCGGUGGAGCAUGUGGUUUAAUUCGAAGCAACGCGAAGAACCUUACCAGGUCUUGACAUCCCACUGACCGGUAUAGAGAUAUACCUUUCCCUUCGGGGACAGUGGUGACAGGUGGUGCAUGGUUGUCGUCAGCUCGUGUCGUGAGAUGUUGGGUUAAGUCCCGCAACGAGCGCAACCCUUGAUCUUAGUUGCCAGCAUUUAGUUGGGCACGUCUAAGGUGACUGCCGGUGACAAACCGGGAGGAAGGUGGGGAUGACGUCAAAUCAUCAUGCCCCUUAUGACCUGGGCUACACACGUGCUACAAUGGAUGGUACAAAGGGCUGCAAAGCUGCGAAGUCAAGCCAAUCCCAUAAAAACCAUUCUCAGUUCGGAUUGC